CUGCAUCUAAAAUAAUUUUUAAAAAAUUUACCGUUUCAGAUCAUGUGAGAAGACCAAAGGGAGAAGACAAACAGAACAUAAAUUUCAAUCAGAGAAAAGCAAGAUUUGGCUCCCCACAUAUGCAGAGUAUCUGCAGAAAAAACUGCUAUGUCUGCCUCAAAUGCUUGCCGUGAUACGAAGUGGUAAUCUCUACCAGCUACUUCGUGGUCUCGCCUACUCCGAGUUGUAUCUAGGCAAACAAAAUCAGGCUUGCCACCAAUUUGGAUCUUCUUGACUGAUGACAUGAAGUAUAUCCCCUUUUUGGAAAGACAGACCUAAUUCUCGACAAGGAACAUAAGGGUCAUCUGAGGGGUCAUAAUCAAAAUGAGCUUUCACAUGGAUCUAAAAGAUAAAAAAGAAACGUGUAUUACUACUGUAAAGAGGAAAUGAGGAAAUCUAAGUCCCAAUAUAUACAAUAACAACAAUGAGGAGAGACAUAGGAAAAGGCAUAGAGAGAUAUUGAGGCUGCUGGAAUUCAGAGACAAACUAUUUCCUCAUUUUUCUUCUUAUAAAGAACUUUAAACAGAAGGAAGGUUGCAGUUGCAACAUCAACUUCAAUAUGUUCCGUAAGGAAUAAAGGCAAAUGUGAAAUGACAGCCAAAAUAUAAAGCAUAACUGUGAUGAAAUAUUGAGAAAAAAAAUGAA